GACUUGGAAAUUGUGGUGCACGCCAAUGUGCUCAUGGAGAUAGAACUAGCCUACUCCCUCCGUCCAGGUUUAUUAGGCCUAAAGACAACUUCUCUUAGACCAAGACACAUAGUAAUUUGCUCACAUUAAUUUUUCCAUUCCACUCCCAAUGCACUCUCUCACAUGCAUGCAACCAAUGAAAAAGCACGCAUAAAGUGUAUUAAUUUUCUAGCCAUGACACCAACAACGAUGACUUUUAAUGCAACCAAUGAAAUGGUUGCAUGCAUGCACCUUUCCAAAACGGGGCCUUAUAAAAGGAGACAUGCUUGUGAUGCUCAGAGGCCUAAUAAACCCGAACGAAGGUAGUAGUUACCUAUCUGUAACUUGCCUAAUGUUUUUUGUAUCUGCCCAAAGCUUGCCAAAUGAUUUUAUUAGUUGGUUGCCUGAUAAGUCUGAACUAGCAAGUAAAAUACUGAAAUGUCGUCUGCUUGGAUGGUUAAACUGUUGGUUUUUGACUGCUAGAUCAAUUCACCGAAGCAACAUCAGCAACAAUACGUGCAAGCAAACAAGCAAGCAGGCAAGCUGGUUGAUUGAUGAACAGUAGCUGCAGCCUCUUCAGAGGUAACCUUCGAUCAAGCCAUCGAUUCGAUCUGAACAUAACUAGCUCUCGACGGACGGAAUUCACGUGAGCUUGUGAAAGAAAACCGUUUCACGUGCUGGAGUAUACGAGCUAGCACUCUAAAACCCAACAUAAACAUUUUUGUUGAUUAUGGUAUCCAUAUCAGCCUAACUAUUUGCUUGCCUAAUGAUUUUGUUAGUUGGUUGCCUUUGCCUAAUAUGUCUAUCUGCCUAGUUAAACAUUUCUAUUAAAUAUGGUAUCCAUACAGCUGGACUGAAACUUGUAUAGGAACACAUUAGUUCAAUAAUGAAAAAGGCCUGCUUGGAUGGUUUAUACAAUUACAACUCCGUCAGUUCUAAACUUCUAAUACUACAAGAUAUGUGUACAAGUAGAAGCACAUCAGUGCUUGCUGAAUAAUGCCGCCAAAAUCACAUUGAUUUUACAAAGGAUUAGCACAUAGCAUUACUGUUAUGCUAUUUUUAGUACACAUAAAAGUAAACUCUCUUAGGGGAAAGCAACACUGCAUCUGAAUGAAAGAUUCUCUGUCUUUCAGUGGUCAUUGAUGCCGCACACAAGAUGUAGUUAACAACAGGAUAUUGCUUUGAUAUGUGCACUGACAGUUCCAUCUGUUUGAUCAAUUCAUCGAUUC
rnacentral:lncRNA from 1 species